AAUGGGCGAAAGCCUGACGGAGCAAUACCGCGUGAGGGAGGAAGGCUCUUGGGUUGUAAACCUCUUUUCUCAGGGAAGAAAAAAAUGACGGUACCUGAGGAAUAAGCAUCGGCUAACUCCGUGCCAGCAGCCGCGGUAAUACGGAGGAUGCAAGCGUUAUCCGGAAUGAUUGGGCGUAAAGGGUCCGCAGGUGGCAUUGUAUGUCUGCUGUUAAAGAGUCUGGCUCAACCAGAUCAAAGCAGUGGAAACUACAAAGCUAGAGUCUGGUCGGGGCAGAGGGAAUUCCUGGUGUAGCGGUGAAAUGCGUAGAUAUCAGGAAGAACACCGGUGGCGAAGGCGCUCUGCUAGGCCAAAACUGACACUGAGGGACGAAAGCUAGGGGAGCGAAUGGGAUUA
rnacentral:rRNA from 3 species